rnacentral:rRNA from 1 species
UAUGCCAAGCUUGCUCCCUGAUGUUAGCGGCGGACGGGUGAGUAACACGUGGGUAACCUGCCUGUAAGACUGGGAUAACUCCGGGAAACCGGGGCUAAUACCGGAUGGUUGUUUGAACCGCAUGGUUCAAACAUAAAAGGUGGCUUCGGCUACCACUUACAGAUGGACCCGCGGCGCAUUAGCUAGUUGGUGAGGUAACGGCUCACCAAGGCAACGAUGCGUAGCCGACCUGAGAGGGUGAUCGGCCACACUGGGACUGAGACACGGCCCAGACUCCUACGGGAGGCAGCAGUAGGGAAUCUUCCGCAAUGGACGAAAGUCUGACGGAGCAACGCCGCGUGAGUGAUGAAGGUUUUCGGAUCGUAAAGCUCUGUUGUUAGGGAAGAACAAGUACCGUUCGAAUAGGGCGGUACCUUGACGGUACCUAACCAGAAAGCCACGGCUAACUACGUGCCAGCAGCCGCGGUAAUACGUAGGUGGCAAGCGUUGUCCGGAAUUAUUGGGCGUAAAGGGCUCGCAGGCGGUUUCUUAAGUCUGAUGUGAAAGCCCCCGGCUCAACCGGGGAGGGUCAUUGGAAACUGGGGAACUUGAGUGCAGAAGAGGAGAGUGGAAUUCCACGUGUA